rnacentral:rRNA from 1 species
GAUGAACGCUGGCGGCGUGCCUAAUACAUGCAAGUCGAGCGAACAGAUGAGAAGCUUGCUCCUCUGACGUUAGCGGCGGACGGGUGUGUAACACGUGGAUAACCUACCUAUAAUUCUGGGAUAACUUCGGGAAACCGGUGCUAAUACUGCAUAAUAUAUUGAACCGCAUGGUUCAAUAGUGAAAGACGGUUUUGCUGUCACUUAUAGAUGGAUCCGCGCCGCAUUAGCUAGUUGGUAAGGUAACGGCUUACCAAGGCAACGAUGCGUAGCCGACCUGAGAGGGUGAUCGGCCACACUGGAACUGAGACACGGUCCAGACUCCUACGGGAGGCAGCAGUAGGGAAUCUUCCACAAUGGGCGCAAGCCUGACGGAGCAACGCCGCGUGAGUGAAGAAGGUCUUCGGAUCGUAAAACUCUUUUGUUAGGGAAGAACAAAUGUGUAAGUAACUAUGCACGUCUUGACGGUACCUAAUCAGAAAGCCACGGCUAACUUCGUG